rnacentral:rRNA from 1 species
GACAGGGGUGGCAAGCGUUGUUCGGAGUGACUGGGCGUAAAGGGUCUGUAGGUGGUUUUCCAAGUCUUUGGUAAAAAGCUGUGGCUCAACCAUAGUGAGGCCAAGGAGACUGGGAGACUCGAGGCUGGGAGAGGGAAGCGGAAUUUCUGGUGUAGCGGUGAAAUGCGUAGAGAUCAGAAAGAAGGCCGGUGGCGAAGGCGGCUUCCUGGAACAGACCUGACACUGAGAGACGAAAGCGUGGGGGAGCAAACAGGAUUAGAUACCCUGGUAGUCCACGCCCUAAACGAUGGGUACUAAGUGUGGGGAGCAAUCCCUGUGCCGCAGCUAACGCAAUAAGUACCCCCGCCUGGGGAGUACGGCCGCAAGGUUGAAACUCAAAGG